rnacentral:rRNA from 1 species
CCUACGGGAGGCUGCAGUGAGGAAUAUUGGUCAAUGGGAGGAAUCCUGAACCAGCCAUGCCGCGUGCAGGACGACGGCUCUACGAGUUGUAAACUGCUUUUGUACCGGGGUAAAAUGCGCUACGAGUAGGGUUUUGAAAGUACGGUACGAAUAAGGAUCGGCUAACUCCGUGCCAGCAGCCGCGGUAAUACGGAGGAUCCGAGCGUUAUCCAGAUUACUGGGGUUUAAAGGGGGCGUAGGGUGUUUUAUAAGUUAGCGGUGAAAUCCCGAUGCUCAACAUCGGGGCUUCCGCUGAUACGGUCGGCCUAGAGCUCGGAUGCAGCAGGCGGACUGUGUAGUGUAGCGGUGAACU